rnacentral:rRNA from 1 species
ACACGUGAAAUUCCGUCGGAAUCCGGGAGGACCAUCUCCCAAGGCUAAAUACUCCCUAGUGACCGAUAGUGAACCAGUACCGUGAGGGAAAGGUGAAAAGCACCCCGGAAGGGGAGUGAAACAGUUCCUGAAACCGUGUGCCUACAAGUAGUUAGAGCCCGUUAAUGGGUGAUAGCGUGCCUUUUGUAGAAUGAACCGGCGAGUUACGAUUUGUUGCAAGGUUAAGCGGAAAAAGCGGAGCCGUAGCGAAAGCGAGUCUGAAUAGGGCGCAUAAGUAACAGGUCGUAGACCCGAAACCAGGUGAUCUACCCAUGUCCAGGAUGAAGGUAAGGUAAUACUUACUGGAGGUCCGAACCCACGCACGUUGAAAAGUGCGGGGAUGAGGUGUGGGUAGCGGAGAAAUUCCAAUCGAACUUGGAGAUAGCUGGUUCUCUCCGAAAUAGCUUUAGGGCUAGCCUCGAGGUAAAGAGUCAUGGAGGUAGAGCACUGU